AGUGCUUUGAAUGCACACAAGGUAGUUCAUACAGGUGAGAAGCCUUUUUCUUGUGAAACAUGUGGGAAAAGCUUCUCUCAAACUGGUUAUUUAAAUAUCCAUAAGAGAGUUCAUACAGGUGAGAAACCCUUUUCAUGCCAAGUAUGCAAGAAAACAUUUUCUCAAGUUUGUAAUUUAAAAGUCCACAUGAGAAUUCAUACAGGUGAGAAACCCUUUUCAUGCAAACAAUG